CAAUGCAAGUCAAUGGGGACGGAUCCCCCUCUUCGGAUCCAAUAGAAAAAGGAUCCGUCCCCCAUUGACUUUCAGUGGAGUUCAUGACGGAUCCGUCUUGGCAAUGUUAAAGAUAAUACAACCGGAUUCGUUAAUAUCGGAUGCAGACGGUCGUAUUAUCAGGAAUGGAAACGUUUUU